UACAGAGGGAACUAGAGAGAGAUCAGAUACAGAGGGAACUAGAGAGAGAUCAGAUACAGAGUAAGACAGAGGGAACUAGAGAGAGAUCAGAUACAGAGGGAACUAGAGAGAGAUCAGAUACAGAGUAAGACAGAGGGAACUAGAGAGAGAUCAGAUACAGAGGGAACUAGAGAGAGGUCAGAUACAGAGGGAACUAGAGAGAGAUCAGAUACAGAGGGAACUAGAGAGAGUUCAGAUACAGAGGGAACUAGAGAGAGAUCAGAUACAGAGUAAGACAGAGGGAACUAGAGAGAGAUCAGAUACAGAGGGAACUAGAGAGAGGUCAGAUACAGAGGGAACUAGAGAGAGGUCAGAUACAGAGGGAACUAGAGAGAGGUCAGAUACAGAGGGAACUAGAGAGAGAUCAGAUACAGAGGGAACUAGAGAGAGAUCAGAUACAGAGGGAACUAGAGAGAGAUCAGAUACAGAGGGAACUAGAGAGAGAUCAGAUACAGAGGGAACUAGAGAGAGAUCAGAUACAGAGGGAACUAGAGAGAGAUCAGAUACAGAGGGAACUAGAGAGAGAUCAGAUAC